GAAGAUAGGUUAUCCGCGUUGCCUUCGCUUUAUUUGUGACGAAUCAUACACGGUUGACCUAUUUUU
rnacentral:pre_miRNA from 1 species